rnacentral:rRNA from 1 species
ACGAGGGGUGCAAGCGUUAAUCGGAAUUACUGGGCGUAAAGCGUACGCAGGCGGUUUGUUAAGCCAGAUGUGAAAGCCCUGGGCUCAACCUAGGAAUUGCAUUUGGAACUGACAGACUAGAGUCUUGUAGAGGGGGGUAGAAUUUCAGGUGUAGCGGUGAAAUGCGUAGAGAUCUGAAGGAAUACCGGUGGCGAAGGCGGCCCCCUGGACAAAGACUGACGCUCAUGUACGAAAGCGUGGGGAGCAAACAGG